GGAGGAGUGGCAGAGUGGUUGAAUGCACCGGUCUUGAAAACCGGCGUGCGUGGAAGCGUACCGUGGGUUCGAAUCCCACCUCCUCCGCCA
rnacentral:tRNA from 1 species